rnacentral:rRNA from 1 species
ACAGGGAUUACCUCAGUACGGCGAGUGAAGCGGUAACAGCUCAAAUUUGAAAUCUGGCUCUUUCAGGGUCCGAGUUGUAAUUUGUAGAAGAUGCUUUGGGCGUGGCUCCAGUCUAAGUUCCUUGGAACAGGACGUCAUAGAGGGUGAGAAUCCCGUAUGUGAUUGGUGGCUUUCGCCCGUGUAAAGCUCUUUCGACGAGUCGAGUUGUUUGGGAAUGCAGCUCAAAAUGGGUGGUAAAUUUCAUCUAAAGCUAAAUAUUGGCCAGAGACCGAUAGCGCACAAGUAGAGUGAUCGAAAGAUGAAAAGCACUUUGGAAAGAGAGUUAAACAGUACGUGAAAUUGUUGAAAGGGAAGCGUUGGCAACCAGACUCGUAUGCCGCUAAUCAUCCGGGGUUCUCCCCGGUGCACUUGGUGGUUUUCGGGCCAGCAUCGGUUUCGGUGGUGGGAUAAAGGCCUUGGGAAUGUAGCUUCUCUCGGGGAGUGUUAUAGCCCUCGGUGCAAUGCCGCCUACUGGGACCGAGGACCGCGCUUCGGCUAGGAUGCUGGCGUAAUGGUUGUCAACGGCCCGUCUUGAAACACGGACCAAGGAGUCUAACAUCUAUGCGAGUAUUUGGGUGUCAAACCCAUAUGCGUAAUGAAAGUGAACGGAGGUAAGAGCCCUUAAGGGUGCAUUAUCGACCGAUCCUGAUGUCUUCGGAUGGAUUUGAGUAAGAGCAUAGCUGUUGGGACCCGAAAGAUGGUGAACUAUGCCUAAAUAGGGUGAAGCCAGAGGAAACUCUGGUGGAGGCUCGCAGCGGUUCUGACGUGCAAAUCGAUCGUCAAAUUCGGGCAUAGGGGCGAAAGACUAAUCGAACCAUUGGAAUACCUACUAGGUGGUUAAGAGGCGUAAGCCUAGUCCUGCACAGGGCAACAUUGUCAAAUUGUUCGGGGACCUCCCGCACUUCUCAGCUACCGCAGCCUGGCCGAAAGGCGGGCGCGCACCAGGGUAACGCCCUCGGGGAUGGUAAGAACGCUGAAAAGGGGACGAUCCGCAGCUUCUUCCUACGGGCUUCGCCUACGGAGGGAGUUCACAGACUCGAUGGCAGUGGGCCUCUGGGCUUAAGAUAGAGUCGAACCACCGGGCAA